rnacentral:rRNA from 1 species
GCAGUCGAGCGACAGAUAAGGAGCUUGCUCCUUUGACGUUAGCGGCGGACGGGUGAGUAACACGUGGGUAACCUACCUAUAAGACUGGGAUAACUUCGGGAAACCGGAGCUAAUACCGGAUAACAUUUGGAACCGCAUGGUUCUAAAGUGAAAGAUGGUUUUGCUAUCACUUAUAGAUGGACCCGCGCCGUAUUAGCUAGUUGGUAAGGUAACGGCUUACCAAGGCAACGAUACGUAGCCGACCUGAGAGGGUGAUCGGCCACACUGGAACUGAGACACGGUCCAGACUCCUACGGGAGGCAGCAGUAGGGAAUCUUCCGCAAUGGGCGAAAGCCUGACGGAGCAACGCCGCGUGAGUGAUGAAGGGUUUCGGCUCGUAAAACUCUGUUAUUAGGGAAGAACAAACGUGUAAGUAACUAUGCACGUCUUGACGGUACCUAAUCAGAAAGCCACGGCUAACUACGUGCCAGCAGCCGCGGUAAUACGUAGGUGGCAAGCGUUAUCCGGAAUUAUUGGGCGUAAAGCGCGCGUAGGCGGUUUCUUAAGUCUGAUGUGAAAGCCCACGGCUCAACCGUGGAGGGUCAUUGGAAACUGGGAAACUUGAGUGCAGAAGAGGAAAGUGGAAUUCCAUGUGUAGCGGUGAAAUGCGCAGAGAUAUGGAGGAACACCAGUGGCGAAGGCGACUUUCUGGUCUGUAACUGACGCUGAUGUGCGAAAGCGUGGGGAUCAAACAGGAUUAGAUACCCUGGUAGUCCACGCCGUAAACGAUGAGUGCUAAGUGUUAGGGGGUUUCCGCCCCUUAGUGCUGCAGCUAACGCAUUAAGCACUCCGCCUGGGGAGUACGACCGCAAGGUUGAAACUCAAAGGAAUUGACGGGGACCCGCACAAGCGGUGGAGCAUGUGGUUUAAUUCGAAGCAACGCGAAGAACCUUACCAAAUCUUGACAUCCUUUGAAAACUCUAGAGAUAGAGCCUUCCCCUUCGGGGGACAAAGUGACAGGUGGUGCAUGGUUGUCGUCAGCUCGUGUCGUGAGAUGUUGGGUUAAGUCCCGCAACGAGCGCAACCCUUAAGCUUAGUUGCCAUCAUUAAGUUGGGCACUCUAGGUUGACUGCCGGUGACAAACCGGAGGAAGGUGGGGAUGACGUCAAAUCAUCAUGCCCCUUAUGAUUUGGGCUACACACGUGCUACAAUGGACAAUACAAAGGGCAGCUAAACCGCGAGGUCAUGCAAAUCCCAUAAAGUUGUUCUCAGUUCGGAUUGUAGUCUGCAACUCGACUACAUGAAGCUGGAAUCGCUAGUAAUCGUAGAUCAGCAUGCUACGGUGAAUACGUUCCCGGGUCUUGUACACACCGCCCGUCACACCACGAGAGUUUGUAACACCCGAAGCCGGUGGAGUAACCAUUU